rnacentral:ncRNA from 1 species
UAAGGUAGGACCUUUCCCUAGUACGAGAGGACCGGGAAGGACGCACCUCUGGUGUACCAGUUAUCGUGCCUACGGUAAACGCUGGGUAGCCAAGUGCGGAGAGGAUAACUGCUGAAAGCAUAUAAGUAGUAAGCCCACCCCAAGAUGA